CUACGUGCCAGCAGCCGCGGUAAUACAUAGGGGGCGAGCGUUAUCCGGAAUUAUUGGGUGUAAAGGGUGCGUAGGCGGAAGAUUAAGUUUUAGGUAUAAAUGCGCUGCUCAACGGCGUAUUGCUUAAAAAACUGGUCAACUAGAGUGAGGCAGAGGCAAGUGGAAUUCCAUGUGUAGUGGUAAAAUGCGUAAAUAUAUGGAGGAACACCAGUGGCGAAGGCGGCUUGCUGGGCCUAAACUGACGCUCAUGCACGAAAGCGUGGGGAGCAAACAGGAUUAGAUACCCUGGUAGUCCACGCCGUAAACGAUGGAUGCUAGGUGUUUGGGGAGACCUAAGUGCCGCAGUUAACGCAGUAAGCAUCCCACCUGAGUAGUACGUGCGCAAGCAUAAAACUCAAAGGAAUUGGCGGGACCUCGCACAAGCGGUGGAUCAUGUUGUUUAAUUCGUGGAUACGCGAAAAACCUUACCAGGUCUU
rnacentral:rRNA from 1 species